UGGGGAAUAUUGCACAAUGGGCGCAAGCCUGAUGCAGCGACGCCGCGUGAGGGAUGACGGCCUUCGGGUUGUAAACCUCUUUCAGCAGGGAAGAAGCGAAAGUGACGGUACCUGCAGAAGAAGCGCCGGCUAACUACGUGCCAGCAGCCGCGGUAAUACGUAGGGCGCAAGCGUUGUCCGGAAUUAUUGGGCGUAAAGAGCUCGUAGGCGGCUUGUCGCGUCUGCUGUGAAAGCCCGGGGCUUAACUCCGGGUGUGCAGUGGGUACGGGAAGGCUAGAGUGCAGUAGGGGUAACUGGAAUUCCUGGUGUAGCGGUGAAAUACGCAGAUAUCAGGAGGAACACCGAUGGCGAAGGCAGGUUACUGGGCUGUUACUGACGCUGAGGAGCGAAAGCAUGGGGAGCGAACAGGAUUAGAUACCCUGGUAGUCCAUGCCGUAAACGUUGGGCACUAGGUGUGGGGGACAUUCCACGUUUUCCGCGCCGUAGCUAACGCAUUAAGUGCCCCGCCUGGGGAGUACGGCCGCAAGGCUAAAACUCAAAGGAAUUGACGGGGGCCCGCACAAGCGGCGGAGCAUGCGGAUUAAUUCGAUGC
rnacentral:rRNA from 1 species